GUAAUACUCCCUCCGUCCGAAAAUACUUGUCAUCAAAAUGGAUAAAAAAAGAUGUAUCUAGAACUAAAAUACGUCUAGAUACACCUCCUUUUAUCCAUUUUGAUGACAAGUAUUUCCGGACGGAGGGAGUAGAAC
rnacentral:pre_miRNA from 1 species